UUUUUUUUUUUUUUUUUUUUUUUUUUUGAGCUAGCCCUGAUCUUGCUAAUCCCAAAGUCCGAAGAUGUAUUUUACAAAUCUAAGUCUCGAUAUGCCAAUGUGUUAAUGUUUUCCACUCAGUAUAUAACCAAAAACAUGCAUUAACAUUUAAUAUGCAUUCCAUAAGGUAGUCUUAAAAUACAAAAUGUAUUUAGCAAGUUUCUUAAUGUCAGAAAUGAAUACUUCAUUUUAACUACAAACAUUUGGAAUUACAGAAAAAGUUACCAACACAGAAUAAAUUUGGAAAAUUUAGAAGCUUCCAAAUGUUUGGGUUACUUGCAAGAACAUAAAGGAGCUUUGUUUGUUUAGCAAAAUAGAAACGUACAGACUCUUUGGAAUUUCUUGGAGAAUCCGAUAAUCUGUUGUCUGUUUAAGUCAAAUUUUACCAAUCAACUUUAAACCCUGGUGCAAGUUGACUAAGUGUUUGGGUCGGGGAGCAGGAGCUAUCCCAGGAAAUCAGGACAGUUCUUGAGAUGAAGAGGCCUGAUUACAAAGUGGGAUCAAUACUGAAAAACAAGAGAAAUCUUCCUACUACAUAACAACUGAAAGUUACAAGUAGAAUGUAACUCCUGUUCUUCAUAUUUCCUAGACUUGUAUAAUUCCCCCUUUCAUAAGUAAGCAAUUUUGUGGUAAAGAUUAUUGCCACCUGAAAUUAAAAAGCAGUAGAAGGUAGUUGUAAAAUAAUAAGUAUUCUGUAAUCUCUAUUUCCUUAAGAAGUAAACACUGGUGAGGUUUUCUUUCUUUUUUUUUUUAGCUUAAAAUGAUUUGGAAAAUAUUGUAACAUAACAGAUCUUCAGCCAAGUGUAUUUGAUUUGACACUCGUCAUAUUUUUUAGGUUUUUCAGGCCCAACAAACAUCCCUGACUUUCAAUCUUUUACCAGGAACAACAGUCGAUAUUCUUUACGAUAUUCUCCACUGUAGUGUAUUAGCUGCAGUGAGCUAAUGAGAAGCAGGAGGCAUUACUCUUGUUGUUGUUGUUGUUGUUGUUGUUGUUGUUGUUGUUGUGAUGAUGAUGAUCAUGAUGAUGACUGUCUAGAUAUUUGGGCUAAUUUGCACUGUUUCCUGUCUAACAAAACAACACCAACGGGAAUACAAAUUGCUUUUGGAAGAGGAAAGGCAUUCCUAAAUUCCUCUACAAUCUUUGUUUCUGGUUGAUACUUGUUGUUUCUUCUGGUGUGCGGUAGACCCGGGAAAUGGAAUCGGACAUAGGCUCUUUAUGGUUCAAGGAAAGAGACUUCUUGAAUACUUCCAACUUACUCAAUGAAUACCCGGUGGGACUAACUUUGCAGCACAUUAACAUGCAUGUCAUCAUAUGUUCGGAUUUACAGGCUGCUAGUAUGCUUUUAGUUGAUUUGGUGGCAAAUAAAGAAUUCUUGAGGGGGAGGUAGAGGUGGGUGGAUGGAGGGGACGCUAGGGAGACCUGGGAGGUGAAUAUGGUCAAACGGCAUUGUAAUAAAUCUCACAUAAUGAAUAAAAGUAUUAUAUUUUAAAAAGAAUUCUUGUUAAUGUAGUUCAGCGUGUCACCAGUUAAGACUCUGCGAACUAAAUAUGGAUGUCUAAGAUAACAGAGUCUAAUAACAGAGUCUAAGAGCACUCUGUUGUUAUUUUUCUCUAGACUUUUGUUGUUAAUAUUUCUUUUAUAUUAAGAUUUCGUUUCAGUGCAAUGCAAUCAUUCUUCUCAAACCAGCAUUUGCAUGUUAAAUCAGCUUGUAAAAGGAAGCGAAGCAUUCUGACUUAGGAGUGGUCAGAACGGUGACAGGCAGCACUGUCAGUCGCUUCUGGUUGGUGUCUACCCCUACCCUAAUGCCGGGAUUUCUCUCACCCGUUCCUUACAGGCCUGUGGGGCGUGUCCCUUCUCCACUGCAAGGCUACGACUUGGUGGGAAAAGAAGUUCACAAACUCAACUUUCCCAAUCUUUUCGUGGAGCGGCUUAAAAGUCAAGCAAUCAAAAACCAGCAAAGUUUUGCUUGUAAUUUGCAACGGUGUUGUUGAAAGUUGAGAGGCGAACACGUAAAGCAGGACGUGCCAAAAGUAUUUUUCCUUCCACACCGACAAUGUGUCUACCAUGGUAGAAAAGCUGGUUAAUGCAGUUGGUUGAUGGACAUUUCGCAGAAGUUCCCAAUUUUAAAAGUCAUUUUCUGGCCAAUUAAAAAAACAAACAAAAAAAAAAAAACAAAAAACAUACCC
rnacentral:lncRNA from 1 species